AGAGGAGGAGGAGGAGGAGGAGGAGAUGAUUUGCGGCUUCAGAGGCAGAGCUAGCUCCCAGGGAGUACACCAGGGCCCUCCUCCUCGGCUAAGGCUCUGGCCCCAGCUGUCGCUAGGAGCCCAGACCCCAUUUCUGAAGGCCAAGAAAUUCCUGAAGGGCAAUGGAGUAAUGUGAUCACUCCUAGCUCUCAUGAUAUCUUCUCUUUAACCAGCUGGAGCUGGAUCCCCCACAAGCCUCCCUGAAAGACUGUCCAAGCUCAGAACUUUAUCUCCCACUUAUGAGAAAGAAGCUCUCCACAUCCAGAGGAAGAACUGUGGGAGCAGAAACAGAAGAAAACCAACUGCUUGAUCACAUGGGUCGAUGGGGAUAUGACUGGGGAUGGAGGCUCUAAAGGAUCACCCUAGGGCACACAUCAAUAAUAUGGAACUAGGUCUUGAUCAAUAACACAUGGAAAACCCAGUGGAAUUGCUCAUUGGCAAUGGGAGGGGGCUGGGAGGAGGGAAGGAAAGAACAUGGAUCAUGUAACCAUGGAAAAAUAUUCUAAAUCAACAAAAUAAAAUUUAAAAAAAGAACUUUAUCUCCCAGAGUUUCCAUAGUUACCCCCAUCCUUUAUUAUCAGGCAGCAUCCCCCUGUUAAUAAAUAGAAUUACUCUAGGAAAAUUACUUCAGUUUCCCCUUUCGGUAAAUUUCAUCCUCAACACUUCUUGCCAUUUAUGUAUUGAGAGACAAAGCAUAAGGACACCUAUGAGGGAAACAAGCAGUAUAUGCAUUUUUUCUUGUUGUUUAGUAGUUUUCCAUUCGUGGCCAACUUUUUGUGAACACCACUUGAGGUUUCCUUGACAGAGAUACUGGAGUAGUCUUCCUUUUCCUUCUCCAGUUCAUUUUACAGAUGAAUAAACUGAGGCAAACAGGGUGAAGUGACUUGCUCAGGGUCACAAAGCUAGUAGAUGUCUGAGGCAAGAUAUGAACUCAGGAAGAUGUAUCUUCCUGAUUCCAAGUCCAUGCUCUAUGCACUGUACCUCCUAGCUGCUACAUAGUGGCUCCAUGCAU